UACAGAGGUCCCGAGCGUUGUUUGGAUUUAUUGGGCGUAAAGGGUGCGUAGGCGGCGGAGUAAGUUGGGUGUGAAAUCCCGGGGCUUAACCUCGGAAUUGCAUUCAAUACUGCUUCGCUUGAGUACUGGAGAGGAGGCUGGAAUUUACGGUGUAGCAGUGAAAUGCGUAGAUAUCGUAAGGAAGGCCGGUGGCGAAAGCGAGCCUCUGGACAGUUACUGACGCUGAUGCACGAAGGCCAGGGGAGCAAACGGG
rnacentral:rRNA from 1 species